CGGCGGCAACCAUGCAGUCGAGCGAUGAAACUUCCUUCGGGAAGUGGAUUAGCGGCGGACGGGUGAGUAACACGUGGGCAACCUGCCUCAAAGAGGGGGAUAGCCUCCCGAAAGGGAGAUUAAUACCGCAUAACAUUAUUUUUCCACAUGGAAAGAUAAUCAAAGGAGUAAUCCGCUUUGAGAUGGGCCCGCGGCGCAUUAGCUAGUUGGUGGGGUAACAGCCUACCAAGGCAACGAUGCGUAGCCGACCUGAGAGGGUGAUCGGCCACAUUGGAACUGAGAUACGGUCCAGACUCCUACGGGAGGCAGCAGUGGGGAAUAUUGCGCAAUGGGGGAAACCCUGACGCAGCAACGCCGCGUGAGUGAUGAAGGUUUUCGGAUCGUAAAGCUCUGUCGUUAGGGACGAUAAUGACGGUACCUAAUGAGGAAGCCACGGCUAACUACGUGCCAGCAGCCGCGGUAAUACGUAGGUGGCAAGCGUUGUCCGGAAUUACUGGGCGUAAAGAGUAUGUAGGCG
rnacentral:rRNA from 1 species